UGUUGAGAAUUACCCUUAAAGGUAAUACUACAGGCUGAAUUACCUCCACGGCCAGGCUGGCUGACUGCUUUGCCUCGUAGCGGGACAGGAUCAUCUUAACUGGGCCCCCUGACCUCAGGAUUCUUUAAAACUAAGAAAAAUGUCCCGUAGACAUGAUUAAGCUUCUCCCUCUGGCUUCUCUUCCAUCCUCCGCUCUCAGCUGCAGACCAAUCGCGAUGAUUACUUCCGCUUUCCUUGAUUUCUGAUAAUUGAAGACAGGUGUUCCUACGCGCCUGCGCAGUUCUGGAGAGCUGAGCUGAUUGUUUAAAAUUCAACUUCUGAAUUUAAAAUGUUAAGAGAAAUACGGCAGGUAAUUACUUGAAUAAGCUGUUUAUAACUUAAACUGGGUAUGCGCUAAUUGGAUUUUUCUUUUCUAAAAGUUUUUUUUAACACGUAUAAAUGGUUUAUUAUCGACGCUAAUGUUAAUGUUAGCAUGACGUUAGCUUGUCCAUCUGUUCAGGUGCUGAGGCUAAUCCAGUUGAUGGGAAAACAAAGGAAACGAUCUAGUUUAAAGAAUACUGGAGCACUUUUGGUGCUUUUAUGGACCGAAAAGGGCUCGUCCCAUCAGAGGAUAAACUGCACUGUUGCAACUGCUGGUUCCUGGUGUUUUGGAAUUGCAAUGCACACCCUUCAAGCUGAUCUGAAAAAGGUCCUGCUUCCCGGAGUGUGGCCUUGUCCUGAGCCCGAUCCCGAGGAGCUGAGCGCCUUCACAGAUCUGUUCGGAUCACUGAAGUUCAUGCUGAAUUUUCAGAUGAAAAAUCCAGGACAUUACUCAUCCAAAUGGCAGGCUCAUGUUAAAGCGUUUCUUCAGAUGUUCGGUUUGACCAAUGCCUGGGAUAAGAAUCCAACUAAAAUUUAAAAUCCAUGGACAGAAAUCACAACAUGACUUUAGCGCUUUCCUCAUAAGUAAAGUUGCUCUUUCAGUCCGACCACCUCUGAUCUUGGACGUCACUUGUUCUGCACAACCAUGGUGCGAUCAGAGAGGAUCGUGGUGUCAGAAAGGACAUCCUGUUGUCGGAGAACGGUUUCCUCUCAGCAUCCCACCCAAAGCCAUGGACCAGGGCCUGUUUGGAGAGCUCAGUGUCCAGAUUGUUACGCUGCUGAGCCCCUGUGUGCUGCAGUACCCCCAUUUGCCUACGGAGCUAUCUCGCAUGCAAAUAUCCUUUUGUCUGGUUUAAUCACAUUCUGUUCUGAUUUCUUUGUAAAGAUGAGUAUCUGAACCAGUGCAUGAAGAAAAGCUCACUUUGUGUUCGGUUACGUGACAAGGGCUUCAACUGUUCUGGUGCAGGAUCAUGACUCAUCCAGCUUCCCUAUUAAUGAGGUGUGCUUGUAGUUACAUCAUCUUAUCCAAAUAUGACAGUGAAACAUAAAGAUGAGUUAUUUUAGACUUGUUCUACCAACUAUGGACAUAAGGGAUCACAAGAUUGUGCUAGACCUCUGCUUGUCCCUGUGUGCUAAAAACUGUCCAGUCGCAGCUUUAAUAGGUUUUCAGUGUCAUGAAGUCAGUUGGACAGGAAGUAGUCACAUCUGUAGCUCUACUUUUCCACAUGGCAUACACAAAACAACAAGCAACUUAAAUUAGAUAUGCAUUUGUUACCACUUUCAAAUGUCCUAAUGAUGUAUAGCACAGAUAAUUCUUAAAUUAGUCUAUUUAAUGGCAACCAGUAAUAUUAAUUGUUGCAUCUCUCCGGCGAUCCCUUCAGGGAAUUUGCCUUAUUUCAGAGAGUUGGUGCUGAUGGUGGUGGGCUCCUGUAGCAGUCUGUAUUACAGCAAAUUUAUUGAAGCACCUGACUAAACACAGUAGGUAUUUCUAUGACAAUCAGCAGGUGGUCAUUUAUCAAUCUUUCUAAAAUACAGUUAUUGUAAUAAAAUAAAAUGUACUUUUUAAUUUGAGGGUUUUAUAGGUCAGGGUACGAUUAAAAAUGAUCUGGUGCGCCACAUGGUUCAGUGGAAGAGCAGUCGUCCCCGGUUCGAUUCUCGGCCCAAAGCCAUUUACUGCAUUUCUUCCUCUUCUCUCCCUUCUCUUCUUCCUAACAGCUACCAAUAAAUAAAGGCCAUUAGAGCCACAAAAUGUAAAAAAAAAAAAGACAGAAUUGUUGUCUUUACCAGACUCUAACUUCACAACUCGUCACACAACAGAUUCCACACUGUCAUUGUUUAGUAAACCAAAACUUGAAUUAGAGCAAUGGGCUCUAAUCCAAGACCUUAUUUGUUCAGUGUUGCCUCAGUUCCUUUAAGGCUUGCAGCCACAGCUACAAAUUCAACAUUUGUAGAUGUGGAAAGGGAGUACUUAGUUUUUCACACACAGCUUUUUUGGGUUUCUCUUUUGUUUAAUACUCAACAAUAAAAGUGUUGUAAUUUGGAGUUUACAUUUCAGAACCUGUUUUUGACCAGAUCGUAUUUUAUUCUGUUCUAUUUUGCUGAAACCCUAGAGUUUAAUGCGACUUUCUUUCUUUUUGUAAAUUAAAUGAAGUGCAUAUAAAACUGAAGCUGGAUAGAAAAUGAAAUAAUAAAGCCAAGAUAUUCUACUUUAGACGGGUUUGUGGUUUUGCUUCGCCUGCACAUCUGCCGUAUUCACUUUCAACUGAGAUGGCAAAAGACUGAAGUGAUACGGUUUUAAAUAGCUGA